UAUCAGCAAAAGUUUAAAAGUGAACUAAUCCUUUAACUAGAUUAAAUUAUGUGUCUGAUCGAUCCAGUCAUUACACAGCUGUCCACGGCGCAAUUUUGUUCAUUUAAACUCUGCUUGCAACUGCAUGUAUUCGACUAUGGAAGCCUUACAGAAUGUAACCUCUAGUAAUAAUACAGCAGAUGAACUAGAUCUCCUCAAAGUGUUCUCUGAUUGGAGAACCAUUCAUGGAGAGCAUCAUAAUCAGUUGGCCUAACUAAGUAAGGCCAUGUUCAAGGCCCUGCAGAUGCUACAUAAGCUUGCCAGAAAUUCAGCCAAAGAUGAGGAUAGAGAGCAAGCUGGAGAUCUCCAAAAGGUGGUGACGGAUAGGGAUAGGGUCUCCCUAUGUCUUCUAGGAGUUUUUCUAGAUCUCUCCCCCUAUUGGAGACUCCAUCUUGCUCUUUAAAAAUAACUAUUUAAAACACAUAACACAUUAAAAAAAGCCACUCAGAGUGCUGAACUCCCAUCAAGCCUCGCCUUUUUCUUCUUAAGAAAAAAUAUGUUAGUAGGUUAAUAGGUUCUCUGCAAGAGAUGACAAUUUUACUAAAAUGACAAUAUAAAUGCUAAAAGAAACAUUCCAAAAGAAAACAUUCCAUUAUCAGUCAGAGUUUUCAUCCGCAGCCCUUAACUGAAAAGGACAUCAGUUAUUUCACAAUUCACAAAAAAACAAAAACAACAAACAAAAAACAGAUGUCACUUAUAAAGAAAAGUGGGAAAACAUUAAGAGGAAAAGUACUGAAAUACAAAGCAACAGACUUGUGAUGGAAUCGAAAUUCAAAUUGAUCUAAUAUGACAGCAUUGAAGAGAGGUCUCACUCAUAAGGGGAAAAAACUCUUUUACUUAAAGACUAGAGUUCUUUAAGGUUGCAUGCCUGUCAGCAGGUGAUGUUAUCUGCAUGAGCCGAUGUCACAAUAUCUUAGCGGUUGUAGCGAUGUUGUGGUAAGCCCUCCUUUUACUGUAAACACUAAUUGCUCUAGUGUGUGUGCACGUGUGCUGCGGUUGCAUUUCUAAUUUACAAACUAUGAAAAGGACAUGACACUUCACUCAUUGUGGUAUCAUAAGUUCCAGUGAAUAAAACCAAUGAGUUGACAGCUCGUGAGUUGACAGAGUGUGAAGCCGAUUAAGAUAAGACAAAGUGAAGAUAUGUUUUGGAAAAUAAACCCUAAAAAAGAAACCAUUGAGUCAGAUUUCAGACAUAAUGUACUUUGUCUUCAUUUUCAUUUAUCUGAACUCAGGAUAAAAUGAUGAGUUUCAUGGAUUUUGUGUGAUUGGAUGUUAUAGUUAUAUCACCAUUGACCUCACAACUAAUCUCAUGUCUCAGAAUGAGUAGCUGUUCUUUAGUAGCUAGUCUUUUUUUUUUUUUUACUCAUGCGUUUACUCAGAGUGAGAGACAGGACCCUUUUCAUCUAGAGUGUUUUUUGUACGCAUGUAUUUGUUUCAAAGAGAGAUGAUGGAGAGAAAGAGAGAAUUUGUUUUGGAACUAGUUAAAAGUUAAAACAAGACAGGAAACAUUUAAUGGAAAGUUAGGGGUAGAGGAAAUUAAGGCACAGGAGAAAUGUUGACAGAGCUGUGUUGCUGCAGUUGGGGGUCCUAAGGCAGAGUCAUCCAUAAAGUUCGUUGAACGUUAUGACUCAUCGUGACAUUUCUGAUAAAGAUUUAAUGCUGAAAUGUUGUCCCCUCAUCUGCAAAGUUUCAGAGGGGCCUGACUAAUUCACAUCUCCUGUCGUUUUCUCAUUGACUCUCUGCUUCUACACAGCUUCAAGUAAGAUGUUUGCCCUGCUCAGUGUCCUUCUGCUUUCGUCACACGUCCUUCCUCUCGUCCAAUCACAGACGUGCAAUGAAACAACAGAGUACCCUAAAGUCAAUCAGUGCUGCAAAAAAUGUGAACCAGGACAGUUUCUGGAAAAGAGAUGCGAAACCGGCUCACCUGAUUCUCAGUGUAGGCCUUGCGGAAAAGGCUACUUCAUGGAAGAAUAUAAUACCAAUUUCGGCUGGUGCAAACAUUGCACAAAGUGCAACAAAGAUCAUAUGAAGUAUAAGAGGAACUGUACGGCGACAAAAGAUGCCGAGUGUACAUGUGAUGAAGGCUACAGAUGCAAAGACGAUUGCAUGAUGUGUGUAAAAGAACAGACAACUACUCCUGUUACUUUCCAUCCUCCUUCUGCUACUAAAACACCACAGGAUAAUGUGUGGAUCUCGGUGAGUCUGUGUUUUGCAUGUGUGUGUGUGUGCGUUCUGUUCACCUGUUUCCUUCUCACCAGCAGACAUGCACGAUCAUGUGGAAGGAUCAUGUCAGCAUCAAAGGGUUUCUGGUCCAACAAAAAGAACAACUCUGGCUGCAGUCAGGCCACAGGGGAAGAAAAUGUACCAAUGCCAGUACAGGAAAUGUGUGGAAAGACAGAGAAACUGGAGGAUGUCUGAGAAAAGAGGAGGAAGAAGGCCGCUGAUGCGUCUACGGAUUGAGUUACUCUAGAACAAACCUGCUGCUGCCAUAUACUCAAGAGAAGAGUGAGACAAAUCUGCACUCAUGUGGCUCAUCUGAAGUAUCCGUGAGAAUGACUGUCCAUCCUGAGAAAUGCUGACAGAGAGAGAUUUGACUUCCCGCUGCACAUAAAGACACACUCGACAUUCAACAUAGAGCUAAUCUUUUUCAACAAAUGUAGGUUUUCUUCUCUGCACACUUGUUUGUAUUUAUAAUUGGGUAGUUAAUGGACUUUAGGUUAAUGUGUAUGAAUGUACUGUACAAGGGAACGUGUAUAUGUUAGGUCAUGUGACCACUCAACAUUUCUUUUCGCUUUUUUAAUCGCCUUAAAAAUAAUGUUUAGAAAUAAUUAAGUCAUAGAAGCUGCAUGUAUAAAAAUAUAAAAGAAUUUACUAAAUAUGUUGAAAAUAGUUUUUGAUGGGAAUAUAGCAUGUCAUGUAACACCACGGGGUAUGUCACUUCCCAGAAGUAUUUCAUGUAUUCAAGUAUUUCAUCUAUCCAGUUGCAUAAAAUAGAAAAGGGAAUUGUAUUUGUGAGUCCAUCUUGCAGUAAAAUUAAGUACGCAGAAAAACAUACCAAAAAAUAAACUUUUAUUGAUUUCUAUUGCACUUAACAAUCAAUAUCAGGUAUAUAAAACGUGUAUUACAGUAAAUAUACAACAUAAUACAUGAUGAUACAAUGUU